AUUGAACGCUGGCGGCAGGCCUAACACAUGCAAGUCGAACGGAGCGCCAGACGGGGGCGUAAGGCCUAUGAAUGUGCCUGGUAGUGGGGGAUAACGACAAGUACGGGGAGCUAAUACCGCAUCCUCUCAGAUUAGCCUAAGCCGGAUUAGUUAGAUGGUGGGGUAAAGGCCUACCCAGGCGACGAUCAGUAACUGGUCUGAGAGGAUGAUCAGUCACACUGGGACUGAGACACGGCCCAGACUCCUACGUGAGGCAGCAGUGGGGAAUAUUGGGCAAUGGGGGAAAGCCUGAUCCAGCCAUGCCGCGUGUGUGAAGAAGGUCUUCGGAUUGUAAAGCACUUUCGGUUGGGAGGCGUUACCUACAGAAUAAGCACCGGCUAACUCCGUGCCAGCAGCCGCGGUAAUUC
rnacentral:rRNA from 1 species